CGGGUGAGUAACGCGUGGGUAACCUGCCUUGUACAGGGGGAUAACAGUUGGAAACGGCUGCUAAUACCGCAUAAGCGCACGGCAUCGCAUGAUGCAGUGUGAAAAACUCCGGUGGUAUAAGAUGGACCCGCGUUGGAUUAGCUAGUUGGUGAGGUAACGGCCCACCAAGGCGACGAUGCGUAGCCGACCUGAGAGGGUGACCGGCCACACUGGGACUGAGACACGGCCCAG
rnacentral:rRNA from 1 species